rnacentral:lncRNA from 1 species
GGUUAAAGAAGUAUAUUAGGGCUAAUUUCCCUGCAUUCAUCCUACCUUUUCUAUCAAUCCCACAAGCCUUUGGCACAAUGAAGUGGGUAACCUUUAUUUCCCUUCUCUUUCUCUUCAGCUCUGCUUAUUCCAGGGGUGUGUUUCAUUGAGAAGCAGGUAAGAAUUCAUUUUUUUCUAUUGUACAACUUUUCUUUUCCUAAUAAAAUUUCAGUAAGCCCCGCAUAUUUAAAGAAUUAAGUUUUACUUUAGCAUUUAUUUCUACAAUGUGAUGAUUUUUUUGGUAAAUCCUUAUGUGGUUAUUUAAUUAAUAUAGUUCAAUUAUCUUAAGUAGAAACAACACUGUAAGAAUCACUUAGUGAAUGUAAUUUCUUUUCUCUCAUGAAGGAAUGACAGGCAGAGUGACUUACACUUCAUAGAACAGAGAAGAAGAUAGGAUUCACAUCUAUCUCUAAGACCUACGUAAUGCACCUUGCUUUAUUUAAAGUAAAAAAAAAAUCCUGUGUUAUUAAUAUUAUAAAUAGGUUUCCAUUUGUAUUUACUUUUAAAUUGUCUUCCCAGUUGCUGUUCAUAGGCAGUACAAGAGCAUUAGAUCUUAUUCCCAUUAGAAAACAAAUUUAUGAAUAUUUAAUGAUAUUUAAAAUAAUAUUCUUAGUGAUUAAAUAAUUCUUCUUUAAAUGCAGAAUUAAUUCACCAUUCUAAGACUUUCUGCAGUAAUCAGAAUCCAAUAUUUUGAAGCAAAUAAAUAACCUAAGUUAAAUGAAAAGAAAUAAUGGAAUCUAAUUAAUUGUUUUCUUCAAUACUUAAGCAUAUCUUGUGUUUUUUUCUCUCCUUUCUCUUAGACAAAAGUGAGAUUAUUACUCGAUUUAAAGGACUGGGAGAGCAACAUUUCAAAGGCCUGUAAGUUAAAAUACAGAAGGGUCAAAUUUAAUGUUUCUGAUUUGCAUUGAUUAUUACUCUAAAAGUCUUAUAUUCUCCUGUCAUCAGGGUCUAAAUUCCAGAGCAUUGUUGCCCCAUAGAACUUUAUGCAUUAAUGAAAAUAUUCUGUAUCAGUCUAAUAUGGUUGCCACUGGUCAUAUGUGGCUAUUGAGUACUUUAAAUAUGCCAAAUGCAAUGGAGGAAUAAAAUGUCAAAUUGUAUUAAAGUUUAGUUAAAUUGCAUUUAAGUGUAUAAAUUUAAAUUAAUUUAAAGUUAAAUAUAAUUUUCAUUAAGUUAAAAUAAUUUAAAUAUAUAGAGUCACAUAUGGCUAAUGGCUACUGUAUUGGAUAGUUAAAAGCUGGAAUUAUCAUACUACUCAGAAACUCUGGUAGAAUGAUGGAAGGAACUAACAUAUGGUUCUGCUGGCAGCUCACUUACUAACUCCCCUUUACGUAGCAAAUUGUUCUGUGGUUUCUUGGGAACAUUUUAAUAUUUUUGAAAUCUAGUAAAAAUUGAUAAAUAGUCUAUUUUUUAAAGAUCAUUACCUUCCUACAGCCUAGUUUAAUGAGGUAUGCAUUUUUGUUUUAAAUAACUCAAAGGACUUCUGCAAAGCCUACUCUUGACAAUUAGAUCUAAUUAGUACACAGUUGUUUGUUUUCCUUAUGUAUGUGCAUCUACUGACAUGCACUCAUACACAUUUGGACAUGGUGGAAAUACUGUCCUUCCUGCCUAGGAAUAUGUGCCUGCUUAGACCGUACAUAAUACCUCAUAUGAAUAGGCUUUCUGUAUAAUUAUAAGAAAGAUAUAGAAAACAUAGACUAUAGACACAGAUGUGAUUUGCUCUCUAGCAUAACAACUUGUUUUAUAUCAAAGCUUUAUUGUGCUACAUAUUUCUGUUUUUAUUUUAUUUUUUUUGUGUGUGUUUUGUUUCAGGGUACUGCUUACCUUUUCUCAGUAUCUCCAGAUGACUGCAUAUGAUGAUCUUGCAAAAUUCACAACUGAAGUGAUUGACUUGGCAAAAGCAUGUGUUGCUGAUGAUUCAGGGGCAGAUGGUAACAAACCACUUGUAAGUUCUGAUUUUGAGGACUUUUUUUCCCCUUUAAGUUAUUAUGAGUAUAUCAAAGGAAAGAUUCUUUUAAAACAUUAUUAUUAAGUAACUGAAUUUGUAAGCUACACUUAAAAGUUUCAUAUGGACUGAUGUCAUUCACUGUUACUUUGGGGACCAAGAUGUUGUGGGUACACCCACAGUUUUCAGAACAUUUCCUCAUUGAGACCACACAUGACAGUCGCUGUGUUUUUAAAUGGCAAUUUGCAUUUGUAAGCAUCUCUUUUCAAAAUUAGAAGUUUGGUUUCUUUUCACAGAGGCUAAUAGUGAUAAUAUAUUUUUGUGUAUGUAUUAACUUUGUUUUAUUGUGGUUAGAACACUUGACAUGAGUUCUAUCUUCUUAAGAUUUUAUGUGUGAAAUACAUUAUUAGUGACUAGAGGUACAAUAUUAUGCAGUAGAUCAUUAUGAAGCCAGAUUUAAAGUUAGGUAGUCAGUGUAGUUAGGUAAAUCGGGUCUAAUAUCAAGUGAAAUCUAAAAUGGAGGCCAUGAGGAUGAAUUCCCGGAAAAGUUGAGCAACUCUUGAAAUGUUAAUGAAGUCCAGGAAACAGCCCCCAGCAGAUUUGAAGAUAGCCCAUCCCAAAGAAGUGUUGAUGAAGUCCUUCCUGCCCAGAUUACUUCUUUGGCCCACUUGUGUCCCACCCCUCGGGCCUUCCCACCUACAUUCCAUCACCGAAAACUAUAAAAUGGAGAGACAACCGCACUUCCACGGAUUCCAUCUCUUGGGUCCCCUUCUUCCUCGGGGAGAAGUCUUUUCUGCUGUCCUUUAAUAAACUUCUAAAUUCUACUCUGACCUUGCCUUCUCGUGCUUCUCUGGUGUUAUUCUUCAACAUUGGGGAAGCAAGGACGCGUCACCAGUCAACAGCGGUAACAAUUACAGUUUAUUCAUCUUGCUUAAGUGAAAUUUUAUGCCAUUUGACUAGUGAAGCCCAUUUCCUCCUUUUCCUAGCCCCUGGUAGUCAUCUUUCUAUUCUUUGAUUUUGUGAAUUUGGCUAUUUUAGAUCCUCAUAUUAACAGAAUCAUCCAGUGUUUGUCUUUCUGUGAUUGGUUUAUUGUACUUAGCACAACAUCCUUAAAGAUCAUCUACAUUAAUUCCAAUUUCAGAAUUUCCUUCUUUUAAAGGAUGAAUAGUAUUCCCUUGUAUAUAGAUACAUUUUAUUUAUCCAUGCAAUCACAUUUUCUUUAUCCAUUCAUUUGUUGAUGGACACUUCAGUUAUUCGUAUACCUUGACUAUUGUAAAUAAUGCCUGACUGAAUAUAGGAGUGUUAAUAUCUCUUUGAGGUAAUAACAUGAUUUUUAUAUUCAGAAAGCACCAACUGAUUUAUAUGCUAACUUUAUUACCUGGGUGGAAUAACAGUAAUAUUUUUUCAUUAUUUUAGGGCCAUUGAUUCUUUUUCUUUUUCUUUUUUCUUUUCUUUUCUUUUCUUUUUUUUUUGAUGCGGGGGAUUGAACCCAAGGCUUUGUGCUUGUGAGACAAGCACCCUGUCAACUGAGCUACACCUCCAGCCCCUAGGGUCAUUGAUAUUUUUAAAUACAAUAAAAAAGCAAGGUACUCAAUCUCUCUGAAGAACUUGAACGAUUGCUUUUCCAAAUACAUCUUCAAAAUAUGAGGACUAUGUUUCUCUCACCACUCAAUCUAUAUAUACCUCUCUGUGGGAUAGGCUAGUUUUUGUCAUUUAUUUACUUGGUUUUACUGCUUUUGUUUCUCCUUGGAUGUAUCACUCUUUACUGCAGAAUAAGUAUUUUAACUUCCCCCAAUAUUCUAGUUCUACAUAUUAAUUUUUAAAAUUGCAUUAAAAAAUAAUCUGUCUAGACGAGUGUACUUUCCCCAGGGUUACAAUGACUUAUAUAAUAAAAAUGAAUGAGGAGUAAAAAGAUUUAUUUAAUGGGUGAUGUACUUUGAGACAAAUAUUUGUAUAAUGAAAAAUUCUAUAUUUUAAUGCAAUAACAAUGUGUAGUAGAUUUAUGUUACUCCUUAAUUUUUAAAUGGUGUCUUCUAAAAAGCUGGGUCUCUCAGAAAGAAGCAUAUUAAAUGAGAAAGUAUCUGAGUACUUCCUUCUUCAGAUGAAUUCACCUGUUGCACUGCAGGCUAGUUUCCCUAGUGACAGGUAAUAAGCAGAGAAAGGUAACAUUCCUUAAAGCCAUCAACUUCUUUUUGCCCUUCAGUUUUAUUCAUCAUAAGUAAUAUUGUGGCAGUUGAUUUUUAUGGCAAUUACACAUAGAUAGUCAAAUCAAGGGAAUUUAAUGGGGGAAGUGAAUUUUUGUAUAAUAUCCUUUUUUGAUGGUUAAAUAUUUUUAUAAAUAUAUUAAUUUAUUUUAAUUAGAUAUACAUGGCAGCAGAAUGCAUUUUGAUUCAUUGUACACAAUUGUAGCACACCUCUUCAUUUCUCUGAUUGUACAUGAUGUAGCAUCGUACUAUAUGUGUGGUCAUACAUGUACCGAGGUAAUAAUGUCCAUCACAUUCCACCAUAUUUCCUGUCCUCAUACCUCCUCCCUACUCUACUCUCCCCUUUGCCCAUUCAAAGUUCCUCCAUUUUUCCCAUGCCCUUCCUCACCUGUUAUGGAUCAGCAUCCACUUAUCAGAGAGAAGAUUAGGCCUUUGGUUUUUUGGAAUUGGCUUACUUUGCUUAGCAUGAUAUUGUCCAACUCCAUACAUUUACUAGCAAAUGCCAUAAUUUUAUUCCAAUGCUGAGAAAUAUUCCAUUGUGUAUAUAUACCAAAGUUUACUUAUCAAUGGAUAUAUAUCCAUUGAUAAAUAAAUGGAUAUAUACAUAAUGGAUAUAUACAUCCAUUAUGUAUAUAUCCAUUAUAUAUACAUCCAUUAUGUAUAUGUACCAAAGUUUCUUUAUCCAUUCAUCUAUUGAAAGGCUUCUAGGUUGCUUCCACAGUUUAGCUAUUGUGAAUUGAACUGCUAUAAACAUUAAUGCGGUUGCAUUACUAUAAUAUGCUGAUUAUAAGUCCUUUGAGUAUAGACCAAGGAGUGGGAUAGCUGGGUCAAAUGGUGAUGGGUUUAAAAUUUUGUAUUUAAGAUUAUUUAUAUUUAAAUUCAUGUUUCGACUCAUACAUUAAAAUUACACAUAUUCACAUACAUGAUAUACCACACAUAUUUGCAAUAUAGAUGAUUUUUAUCACCUUUAUCUGUAUGUUAAAUUUUUAUAGUGUUCUUUGGCAAUAAAGAAAAUAAAGUCCUGCCCAGUAAUGUGUAGGUUGCUCUCUUCCAUUUAGGAUACUAUCUUUGGAGAGAAAACAUGCACAAUUGCCACUCUUCGUGAUACCUAUGGUGAGAUGGCUGACUGCUGUAAUAAACAAGAGUUGAGAGAUACCAUUGCCUUGUAAAGUAUAAAGAUGAGAAGCUCAACCUCCCUCCACUUGAUCUAAAAAAAUACUGAUGCUAUGUGUGUUACCUUUGAAGAGAGUAGCCAGAAGAUUUGGGGACAGUAAGUUAUCUAUGUUUCAAAAUUAAAAAUUAAGUAAUAAAUCAAUACUCAUUACAAUAAGUACCAUACCACAAACCAUUUCCAACAUUAAGACUUGCCCCUCAUUGAUAUACAAAAUUACAUAUAAGAGAAUUUGAGGGGGAAGGGAAAAAAACAAGAGAAAGAAUUAAAUUACAACAGAUGGGGUAGAGAGAGAAGAUGGGAGGGGAGGGGAAGGGGGAUAGUAGAGGAUAGGAAAGGUAGCAGAAUACAACAGUUACUAAUAUGGCAUUAUGUAAAAAUGUGGAUGUGUAAUUGAUGUGAUUCUGCAAUCUGUAUUUGGGGUAAAAAUGGGAGUUCAUAACCCACUUGAAUCGAAUGUAUGAAAUAUGAUAUGUCAAGAGUUUUGUAAUGUUUAGAAUAACCAAUAAAAAAAAAACAGAAAAAAAAAUAAGACUUGGAAGUUUUGAUCUCAUGUUGAAUUUUAAAGAAAAAAUAUUUCACACCAUGAAAUUCAACACAACCAAAAAUAUGAUCAAAGAUAAUUGAUCUUGAAACAGGAUAUGAUCCAUAUUAAAAUUUGAAAUAUGCAUAUUUUAAAAGAUUCUGAAGAAAUAUAUAGUUAUUCUCAGGAUUGAUUUCAUUUUAGUCAGCAAUAUUAUAUCACCCCAAUUUAACCAUUUAUAUAUGAUUCACAUACAUGCAUAUCACAAAUUCAUCCUUUCUUUUCACUGACUUAAAGAAUGACAAAGACAAGGCUAUCAGACACAAAUUGAGCUUCAAUGGUAAAUUAUGUUUUGGGGUUUUGGAAGCUCGGGGGAGAAUGUUGAUUGUAAUUGUUUCUGUAAUAUCGUGUGGUAUGGAAAAGUGACUUACUAUUAUCCUUUUUUAAAUGUUAGGUUUUUAUAUGAAAUUUCCAGAAGACAUCCUUACUUCAGUGGCUCAGAACUCAUUUACUUUGCUGAAAAGUUUAAAGACUAUCUGACAGAAUGUUGCCCAGCUGCUGAUAAAGGAGAAUGCCUGACCCCAAAGGUAUUUCCCAAAAAGAAGAAUAAAAGAACCAGUUCAUAAUACAACCUCAGAUUUUUAACAUCUUGUGGCUGGCUAGAUUUAGGAAACCUUAAUCUCCUGAAGAAAAUCCCCUCCAUGUUCAAAAGAGCCUUCCUUACUCUUAUGUCCCCGAAAGAAAUUUUAUUCUCUUUGAAGGCCUCUCCUAUUCUUCCUUCCACGUUCUGAGCUUUACCAGUGCUGAUCUGAUGGAGGGAAUCACUGUGCACAUAGUUAAAUGCCCUGCUCCUCUCUAUGGUGAGGAUCUCUAUAGUGAAAUGUUUGUCAAAUUGCACAGCAAGGGCCCAUAGUUUUGUUUUCUUUUUCAUGAGAUUUUUUGUUGAAGAGGGAAUUCAAAGUAGAGUAUAUUACUGCAACUAGAAGCAAGAGCUCGUUUAUUCCUUCCAUUGAAAAACCAGCCUCUACCUCAGAGCAAAGCCUGUCCAAGGAAGGGACAUCACCUUUGUCCUUUGAAAGACCCACAGAGCACUCCUAGGCACAUCCCCACCCUGCUAAGUUGUUUAUCUACAAAUAACAGGAGAGAUCUGCUGUGCCAGGUGUCCCUGACUCAGUCAGGCUAGGUGGGGAUCCAUAGCAACCCCUUAGCAGUCACCAAUCAGCAUGAGACAGGGAAAUACCUGGGAUGCCAGAUGACCCUCCCAGUAGUUUAUGGUGGUUGAUAACANGAGACAGACAUGGAUCUUGGGUCUCUGGUGGUCUUUUGGGGGUCCCGAAUUCAAGCAUAACACCAUACGUGCCGCAGUCCGGCUGCAGCAAAAUAGCCCAGGGGGGUGACGAACAACUUGUGUACAUUGAUACAGCAAGAGUGGAAGCCCUUUAUUGUAGGACAACAGAGGUAUUUAUACAUUCCACACAGCUUAUCUUAAUUAGCAUAAACUAGAUACAGCAGUCAACCAAUAAGGAAUCUCCACACUUAAUGGCUCACUGGAGUUACUUCACAAACCACUCCCUCUGGCAUUUUGCCAGGUGCCAUCCAGACUUGUUUACAGACUCUAACAUUUCUCUGGCAAAAUGCCAGGCGCCAUCCUGACUUGUUUACAGACUCUAACAUUUCCCCCUUUUGUUUAAUUUAAAUAACCACAAUAGUGGUUUUUACAUAAACACCACAAAUAAUCUGCUAUGAGCAGAAGGGGAGGAUACAAAAUGUCACAAUACCAAGCCAAUUGAUGGCUCCAUGCAAGAAGCCCUUGGAAAAAUUAUACCAGCAAUGACACCAUUUGCAAAGAUACCGAGUUACAAUUUGUUGUAGAUUACAGUUUGUUGUCUCAGUCCAGGUAAAGCAGUGUCUCAAUAGAUUAACUCACAGUCCAGGUAAAUCACAGUCCAGGUAAGUUCUGCAGGCAGCUAGCUUGAUCCGAAGUCUCCUCAGGUUUUCAGCAACACUGGAAAUUCUUCCACUUUCGUUUUCACCGGCACUGGGACAAAGGCAGGAACUCCGGAUGGCUAAAGAAAAUCCUGUAGCAUUCCAUUAAGAAAACAACCUUCUGAACAAUUUAGUAGUUAUUGACAUUGGAAAUGACCAAACCUCAGGGACGCCGGGCGUGUCCUCUGCCGCCAGACCGUAGCAUCCCGGGCAGCCCCAGAAGGCCCGGGGAGGGGAGAGUCUGGGGAGUGUUCCGGACUCAAACUGCCACUGGGCACAGGGAGCAAGAGCCUGCGAGACCAUGCCUCCGGGUCAGGUUUGGAUUUGGGCUCUCGCAGUGGCAUCCUGCUCCUGGGCAGGGGUCGGGGAAGAGCCGGCUGCCACCGCUUGGAAAGUCCUUGCUGCGCCAUGACCGGCUCGCACACUUGGCAGCCGCCUCGCCGCUUCACGCACCCUCCGGUAAUGAAAAGUAUUUAGUAAUAGCCUUUUGCUGCAACUUUUUUCCUGAUAAUCCUUCUUCUUCUGAACUUUCUUUUUCUUUCUGACUAGAGUUCCUGGGCUCUUAUCGACACAUGCCCUAACUAUUCUUGGUUCCACUGGGGUGCCUCCUUCCCUUAGUAAUUUACUUCUCACCCCUUCCAUAUUUUCAUCAUAAAGACAAUACAAUACACUGAGACAAAACAAGACACAAACAUACUGUAUCAAUCUUCUCCAUUUUCUCAAAAUGGCCAUUUUUCCUCUCACCCUAUCUGCCUAGGGACGAGCAGAUUUGCUCCCGUCCUAUCUAUGGAUGGGCAGCUUUUUUUUCGUCACUUACCCCCGAGUGUCCCGGGGCUCCCUGUAACGGGCCACUAUCUGCCGCAGUCCGGCUGCAGCAAAAUAGCAGGGGGUGACGAACAACUUGUGUACAUUGAUACAGCAGGAGUGGAAGCCCUUUAUUGUAGGACAACAGAGGUAUUUAUACAUUCCACACAGCUUAUCUUAAUUAGCAUAAACUAGAUACAGCAGUCAACCAAUAAGGAAUCUCCACACUUAAUGGCUCACUGGAGUUACUUCACAAACCACUCCCUCUGGCAUUUUGCCAGGCGCCAUCCAGACUUGUUUACAGACUCUAACACAUACGUAUUUAUUGUGUGCCUCAUUCGGUUUUCUGAGGAGUUGAUUGAUGUCGUCAGAGGAGGGAUUACAUGGAUUAUGCACAAAACUAAGAAGUCAGCUAAAUUUUAUGUUUGAGGGAUAUUAAGGUUCACUUUCUCUUUCAGAAGCCUGUUCUCUGGCAAUGUGUCUAUGCUGAUUUUAACUACUCAGAGGCUUCCAUUAUGACAAGGCUAAUUUUUCCUUUUACAUAGCAAAAUAAUUAUUUCCCAAAGGGAGUAUGUGGGAAUUUAGAUUGAAUGUGGCAUAGUCUCAUCUGAGUUUAUGAAGUUGUGUUUUGUACAGAAAUUUUCUUUUCUGCAUUUUUUUUCAAACUGCUUUCUUUCUGUAGAUUGAGUGUAUGAGGAAGAUAAUACUGCUUUUUUCUGCCAAAUAUAAAUUCAGGUGUAGCAUUAUUGAGAAAUCCAGAGAAAGAGCUUUCAAAGCAUGGUAAAUAUUUUUUAACACAAUUUGUGUAUUUAUAAAAAUGUAAAAGUGAUAAUGAUUCCAUUGACAAAAGUAUACAUUUAUGUGUCAUUUCUCCCAGUGCUUACAAAUAUAGUUUGUUGUUGUUGUAUAAAAGGUAGAAAAUUCUUAGAAGUUAAAAUCAUAAUAUAACUAAUAACUUCCCAUUAUUUUCUUUCUUAUUUUUCUAUGUUGUUAAAGAAUUUGGAAUACAUCAUAUUUUUUUGUCCUAAAAAGACAGACAUAUAAAUUCUACUUUUUUAUUAAGACUAGGAAUCUCACUCUAAUAGUCAAUUUUUUAAUAGAGCUCUAGUCAGUGUCUUUUAUUUAAUUUUAUUCUGAAGCAUCUACUUCUCUUGUUAUGUCCUAUAAUUAAAUCCAGUCACCAAGUAAGCCCAAUAUUCUGAAGCAUCUACUUCUCUUGUUAUGUCCUAUAAUUAAAUUCAGUCACCAAGUAAGCCUAAGUUACUACUUAUAGUUUUUGCCUAGCUCCAACUCUGGUCUUAAUCUUGUGUUUUUGCUUGGGCUUCUGUUUUUAUACUAUUUAGUUGAUUCUGGGAACAUCCUUCAGUAUCUGACUAAGAAAAAUAUUACCUGCCCUUCUAACCCCUCACUUGUCAGAAAAUAAUGGGUCAAUAGAACAGGAGAUAAAAUUAAAAUAAUAGACAUUAUGCAUGCUUUUUAGUAACUGUCAGUUGAAAUGUCUUUGCUUAUCAUUGUUACUGUCCAAGCCAUAAAAACCAACCAAAAUAAUAAACAAAAUGCCCAUAAUGUGAACCAAUGCACGUUACACAGGCAAUGACUGGUUCCGGGAAAGAAGUCUCUAUUUCUGUAUUUAGACAGCCCUGAAAUGAUUUUGGAAAGAAUGAUGACAUUAGCCUUUUAUAUCUUGUCAUAGAGCUUUGAGGUGAUGCCUGAUCAAUUUCUUGGUAAAAGUUUGUUUAAUAAAAACUCCAUCAUUAUGUAGAUGUUAUGAAAUUAGUUUUCUUGAAGAAUUUUAGUAGUCAGGAAAAAUGGGUUUUAAUGAAGGAAAAGAGUAACUGGAGUUUGUGUGAUACUUCCCAGUUGUAAAAUAUUUUCACAUGUAUUAUCUAAUUUAAUCUUCAAAUUAGUUCUUCACUUUAGCAUAAUGUUGUGACACUGAGAAGGCUAAAGCUCAGAGAAGUUAAGUAACUUGCCUAGGUAUUACUGCUAAGAAGAUAUGAAAUCAGAUCUGGAAGUCAGAGCUGGGCUCCGUACCUCAUGCCCCUCAUACUGUUGCCCCUUUCAGCAUUCCUCUUUGAUUGUUGAUUUUAUACAUCAUCAGCUUUCCACUCACCACACAUUAUUUAAAAAAUUUUUUUUUCUUAUAAUAUUUUUUGAAUUGUCAAUAGACCUUUAUUUAAUUUAUUUAUAUGUGGUGCUGAGAACCGAACCCAGGGCCUCACUUGUCCUAGGCAAGCACUCUACCACUUAGACACAACACCAGCCCCCACCACACACUCUUACAAAGGAUAAUUUGAAGUAAACAAGGAAAAAAAAAGAUCACCAUUUGGUUCAGCUCUAACAUUAAAAUAACAAAUGAAUUUAAAAAUUUUUCUAUAGGUUAGUCUGUUUUGAAUUUUUUUUUUUUGUUAUAAAUAGCAUUUUCAUAGGGCUUUCACAUUGCCUGAUAAUAAUAUAUUGAUGGGGGGAUUUCCUUUUCAGGGAAGUAGCUCGUCUAAGCCAGAGAUUUCCCAAAGCUGACUUUACUGACAUAACCAAGAUGGCAGCAGAUCUUAACAAAAUCCACAUGGAAUCUUGCAAGGGUGAUCAGAUUGAAUGUGCACAUGACAGGGUAAAGAGCCAUUAAUUUUCCUUUUUUAGCUUACAUUCUUAAGUGGGUAGAGUAGAUGUACUUAGCAUCACUGGAGACAACUGGCUGUGGUUUACGUGGUCUUCUGGGCUUUCAUUUGCUCCUCUCCAAGCUUUUCUUUCUCUAUGGUACUUUCUUGUAAACCCUACUAUCCUAAUUACUAAAUGACCUGAAAAACUCUUUCACCCAUUUGUAACCUUUUUCGGUCAUAUUUUGAGAAUCUAGGCUGAAAGUGAAGGAGGACAGCUGGUUGCUAACAUAUUUGUGGUAGGGGAAGGUUGGGUUGGAGAAGGGCCAUUUUUCUCAAGAGACCUUUGGAAAGGAUGUAUUUUCCACCUCUAUGUUGUCUCCUUUCAUUAAGUGUUUUCCCCAAACAUGAUCUCUUUCCCCAAAUUUGUAGUAUUGUCUCUCUUUCUUCAAAGAUUAAAAAUAAUGACCAUAUAUCAGAAUCUUGAGCUUUCAGAUUUUAAGAAAUUUAAGACAGAUAUUUUACACAUAUAAGCAAAACUCAUGACUGUCAUCUUGACUCAUUUGUUAAAAAUCUUUCAUGCUUUACUUAGUUAUUUGGUUUCAAAAUGCCUACAUUUAUUUUGAGGGAAAUAUUUGAAAAAGUAGCAUGGAGUUUUAAUUUAAAAAACAAAUGCCUCAAGAGUAGAAAUAUAAAAUUAAUAAAUAGCUGAGAUUAAUUAAUUAUAAUAAACAAACAAAUGAUAACUGGUUUCUAACUAAUGUAUUUUGAUCAAGUAGGUGUGUUUUAGUCGCUUAGAGCCUCAGAAGUACUGACAGAGGAUAUGUGUUCAUAGAAGACACAUUGGUUGUGAAUGAACGAAUACAGUGAAUGUGUUCUGCAACAUCAAAGUCUGGAGAGAAAGUGUAGCAAUGCCAAUUUAUGUUGAACAAUGUUGACCUCCUCACAGGUAACCCUUUUCAAGUACAUUUGCGAUAAUCAAGAUAUAGUCUCCAAGAAAGUGGGAGAAUGUUGUGCUAAGCAGGAGUUGGAAAGAUCCCACUGCAUUGCUGAACUGGAAGAGGAUGACAAGCCUGCUGACUUACCCCCACUAACAGCUGAUUUUGCUGAGGAUAAGGAUGUUUGCAAAAACUAUGCUGAGGCAAAAGAUAUCUUCUUGGGCACGUAAGUUAGAUGAGGAAUUAGCCUUUCAUAGCUCUUGAUUUAGGAAGAUCAUGAUUUUUGAAGAUAUGCUAGGCUUUCCUUUUGAGUUACUACAGUUUCCAUGUUGCCCAGUAUGCUUCUUUGACCUAUUGUUUCCCAGUCUUUAAAGGUUAAAAAAACUAAAUAAUUUCAAACACUGUCAUUCAGUAAAUAUUCAUGGUAAAAGUUCAAUGUUCCUUACUCCUUAGGAAAAUUGCUAGAAAUAUUUCUAGAAAGAUUUUUUAUGUAUGCAAAUUAUGUACAUAACAUUUAUUUGUUCAAUCAUUCAUUAUGCUAAGUGAAGUUAG